CCAAGGAGUCUAACACGUACGCAAGUCGCUCGGUCUUGAUUAGGCCAGAGAGGCGCAAUGAAAGUAAAGUUGAUUGAGUUAUGAUCUCUGCCAGGUCACGUACGUUCACGUAUGUGACGGUGGAGCGCAAUAACAGCCCGCUAGUUUCGCUUUAUGACGAUUUAGCGGAGUUGUAGCGUAUGCGUUGGUACCCGAAAGAUGGUGAACUAUGCCUGGGCAAGACGAAGCCAGAGGAAACUCUGGUGGAGGUCUGUAGCGAUUCUGACGUGCAAAUCGAUCGUCAGACCUGGGUAUAGGGGCGAAAGACUAAUCGAACCAUC
rnacentral:rRNA from 1 species